rnacentral:rRNA from 1 species
GAUGAACGCUGACAGAAUGCUUAACACAUGCAAGUCUUUGGCGAAGCUGUGCUUGCACAGCCUAGCCAAGGCGGACGGGUGAGUAACGCGUAAGGAACUUGCCCUGCAGUCAGGGAUAACAGACGGAAACGACUGAUAAGACCUGGUAAAGUCAGGCGGACUCAUGUCCAGCCUGAUGAAAAGAGAUGCUGCAGGAGAGCCUUGCGUCCUAUUAGCUUGUUGGUGGGGUAACGGCCCACCAAGGCGAUGAUAGGUAGCCGGCCUGAGAGGGUGGACGGCCACAAGGGGACUGAGAUACGGCCCUUACUCCUACGGGAGGCAGCAGUGGGGAAUAGUGGACAAGGGGGGCAACCCUGAUCCAGCAAUUCUGUGUGCACGAUGAAGGUUUUCGGAUUGUAAAGUGCUUUCAGCAGGGAAGAAAAAAAUGACGGUACCUGCAGAAGAAGCGACGGCUAAAUACGUG